UUAAACAAAUACUUAUUGAAUGCCCAUUAUACAUCAGACACUGGGAAUAAAGCUGUGAAUAAAACCCAGAGAAAACCUCUAGAUUUUUAUAUGAACUUGUCCAAAUUUUAAGUGUUAGGAACUAAUAGAAAAUUUAGAAAACAUUGUGUAGGCCAAGCAAAACACAUCUGUGGGCUGCGUUAGGCCUGCAGGCUGCCAGUUUGUGACUUCAGUUCGAAGACUUUGAUGGAGCAAGUGUUCUCUGAAGAGGGGAGUGUGUGGAACGGGCCACUAGGGCCAGGGGAAAUAUUGUUAACACUUCUAUUCAUUUUUUUUUUCCAAUGUCACCUUUGAAAAGUUUUCACUUUGGGAAACACUGUGAUGUAUAGAUAACGGAUUUACACAUAGCACAUGCAUAUCUUUAUAAGUAUUUAAAUCAACAUUAUUGGUAUAUGUUGGAAAUAAAGUGGUCAGAAUACUUUCAUUGAUAGGGAUAUGGAUCAAGGUCACUGUAAUAAUCUUUGGAAAGUAUGUGUUUGUACGACUUUGCCCCAAAGAAGGUUAAAGCUGUCUCCAGCUCAGCAGGCAGAGGAUGUUUGAGAACGUGAGAUGGAGACAGGAUAUCUAUUCCAGCACUGAUUCAACUCGACCACCCUCUGUUCCUUCCACCAGAGCACUGUCCUGCCCUGAGUGAAAGCUGCAGACCCUUCUGAGUGAUGAGGAAAUCACUGGUGAUGGGUCCCACGCAGGGUGGACCAACAUUUCAACCUCCAUGGCCAAGGCUGGGGGUGCCAUGGUCCUCAUUGUUGUUACUUACUAUGCUCCUGAGAGGUACAUGUGAGGACACAGCUGUGCUGGAGAAGACUGAAAGGUGAUUUAGUAAUCACUCUGACGUGUCAGGAGGGUAUUGGAAGAAGGCAGAGGGACAGUCACUCUUCAGUUAUCCUGAGGGCAAAACAGGAAGAGACGUGGAGAGGUCCUCAGCUGCUGAAGAAACUGGUUUGUGGACCACCAUCCCUGAUGCUCCUUCCUGGCCAUCUCCAUUUUGGUCUGCUCGACUACCAUCUCCUAUUCUCAAUUCUUGCUUGGCACAUGAUUAUUUUGUGAAGAAAGAGGACCCAGAUGGGACUGGGACCUUCCUAACCAAUCAGAAGAGGAAAAACCCAACUAAGGCAGUUCCUUCAUCGAGCUGAAACAGACCUGGCUUUGCUUAUCUCUAAGGAUGUUAAUGGGCAGAGAGCCCUCUGUGACCGACCAGUGGAACUGAGUAAAUGCAAAAUGGCCACCUACAUGACCUCUGAUAGACCCCAAGCCUGUAUGCUAAGUAACACCCACCCCCCCCCCACAAGAGUCCUGACAGUUGACAAAUGUCUUGACUUCGGACAGAAAGAGCCGUAAAAGGAACAGAAAGAGGUGGCACCCUAAUUCCUGAAAAGUCUCUAUUUAUUCCAAGAAUAGACAUGAGUAUUCUUCCCCUUUAUUGCCUAUCCUUCUCUUUCGUCUUUCACCCUGUAUCCAUGACUUCGCCAUCCCUGAAUGCAGAGGACUUGAAUCGUGAGCUAGACUCUAAUUCUCAGUCCUUUGAUUGCUGAAUAAACUUGCGCUACAGGUACUCAGUGUUGGUUUUAUCUUCGUGACAGCAAACAGAAAAAUUAUCCCUGUUGGGGGAUGUAUUUCUGCCUCUCUUAGGAGAGGGGCCAACAAACUGUGGGUAACAGGGAAGCCCUGGAUGGAGGUCGCCAUCAAGCUGAUGGAAACUCUGGGAAGCUCAGCUUUUUACCCGCAGAGGAUUUGCUCCCAUUACAGAGGUUUGGGGGAGGUAGUUUGCAGCACCUCACUGGAAAGAGCCUUGGAUUCCAUCUGUGCCUCCUAGCUACAGAGCAGGCUGAGGAAAG